GACCUUGAAAUACCACCCUUUAAUGUUUGAUGUUCUAACGUUGACCCGUGAUCCGGGUUGCGGACAGUGUCUGGUGGGUAGUUUGACUGGGGCGGUCUCCUCCUAAAGAGUAACGGAGGAGCACGAAGGUUGGCUAAUCCUGGUCGGACAUCAGGAGGUUAGUGCAAUGGCAUAAGCCAGCUUGACUGCGAGCGUGACGGCGCGAGCAGGUGCGAAAGCAGGUCAUAGUGAUCCGGUGGUUCUGAAUGGAAGGGCCAUCGCUCAACGGAUAAAAGGUACUCCGGGGAUAACAGGCUGAUACCGCCCAAGAGUUCAUAUCGACGGCGGUGUUUGGCACCUCGAUGUCGGCUCAUCACAUCCUGGGGCUGAAGUAGGUCCCAAGGGUAUGGCUGUUCGCCAUUUAAAGUGGUACGCGAGCUGGGUUUAGAACGUCGUGAGACAGUUCGGUCCCUAUCUGCCGUGGGCGCUGGAGAACUGAGGGGGGCUGCUCCUAGUACGAGAGGACCGGAGUGGACGCAUCACUGGUGU
rnacentral:rRNA from 1 species